UAGGGAAUCUUCCACAAUGGGCAAAAGCCUGAUGGAGCAACGCCGCGUGUGUGAUGAAGGGUUUCGGCUCGUAAAACACUGUUGUAAGAGAAGAAUGACAUUGAGAGUAACUGUUCAAUGUGUGACGGUAUCUUACCAGAAAGGAACGGCUAAAUACGUGCCAC
rnacentral:rRNA from 1 species